UACGUAGGUGGCAAGCGUUGUCCGGAAUUAUUGGGCGUAAAGCGCGCGCAGGUGGUUUCUUAAGUCUGAUGUGAAAGCCCACGGCUCAACCGUGGAGAGUCAUUGGAAACUGGGGAACUUGAGUGCAGGAGAGAAGAGUGGAAUUCCACGUGUAGCGGUGAAAUGCGUAGAGAUGUGGAGGAACACCGGUGGCGAAGGCGACCAUCUGGACGGAUACUGACGCUGAGACGCGAAAGCGUGGGUAGCAAACAGG
rnacentral:rRNA from 1 species